rnacentral:rRNA from 1 species
UACGUAGGUGGCAAGCGUUAUCCGGAUCUAUUGGGCGUAAAGGGAACGCAGGCGGUCUUUUAAGUCUGAUGUGAAAGCCUUCGGCUUAACCGGAGUAGUGCAUUGGAAACUGGGAGACUUGAGUGCAGAAGAGGAGAGUGGAACUCCAUGUGUAGCGGUGAAAUGCGUAGAUAUAUGGAAGAACACCAGUGGCGAAAGCGGCUCUCUGGUCUGUAACUGACGCUGAGGUUCGAAAGCGUGGGUAGCAAACAGG